CCUCAGUACAGCUGAUUCUCUGGGGGGUCAGGAUCAUAUAAAUAGUUGCUGCGGGGGGCACCUGGUCUCAGACCGGAGGAGCGACAUCUCUGCCACCGCUGCCGCCCGGUCCCGAGGCGGGGUCCCGGUCGACCGCGCGCCGCCCCAUGCAUCUCUGCCUCGGCCGGCGCGCACCCUCGCGGAUCGGCCACGGGGAUCCGCGGCCCCGGCCGGCCUUCCGCUCCUGUCCGGCACCAUCUACCGAAGCCCGAAGGCCCAGGAAGCGGGUGGUGUUCGCAGACACCAAGGGGCUCUCGCUGACGUCCGUGCACAGCUUUGGAGAUGCUGUGGGCGCAGACUCAGAGAAGAACUUCUGCGGUGGGUCCAGGGGAGCGCGCCCCGCACCGCCCAGCUCGCCAAAGCCAAGACCCUCGGUUCCGGGCCUCCCGGGCCCAGGCAGGACUCCGGGGUCCCCCGAGGCGUCUGCAGAACCCCCGUGGCCGGGAGCUUCCAGCGAGGCGUCGUGCGGGCUCGAGGGCUAGUUUUCCAGAAGGUGCCGCCCGUGCGCAUCGCUCUGGGUGCCUGGGGCUCAGUCCUUGAAGCGCCGCCACUCAAGCGCUCGGUCCUGAAAGAACCGGCGGCAGCUUCGCCCUCGGCGCGGGGUUGCCGCGAGGUCCCCCGAGCUGGGGGAACCAUCCAGUUGUGCUUCUCUUAUAGUGUGCUCAGCCGCUUUCAGCGGAUGGUGAUCAAGGUCAGAGUUAGUGCCUGACGCCCAGUUCACCGCCCUGCCCAUCAGAAUGAAACUGAACCCUUCGAGGGCGCACAUAUAGGAGCCCUCGCGGGUUACUUUCUCUGCGUCAAGCGAGAAUCCCUGGCUCAGGGUGUGCUCGCCUUUCCGAUUUCCCCUGGAGCCCGUCUCGGACUCUUCCAGCAUCACUGUGGGGAGAUGAGAGGAACACAACUCCUAGCCCCUCAGCAAGCCUUGAAUGCCUUGCAUUCUUAUCUCUCAAAGAAAGAGGCUGCCAGUGGCGCCCGGCCCCCUUCACCCUCUGCAGAGAAGCCAAAUGUAAACAAAGCUUUGUUAUAAUUAUUUCAAAGGCCUGGAAGAGAGUGUCUGUAAGCAAGGUGCCGGUGGGUAGGCCGAGAUGGGGACGGGAGGAGGAACUGAGCGCAGAAAUGGGCUCUUUUACUUCCCUCUCCCUUUGGAAAAGGCUCAUUUUCUGGUAGUUUCUUAAGCUUUUUCUUUUGACCAGCCCUGCGGCCUGUGGGAUCUUAGUUCCCCAGACCAGCGAUGGAACCUCAUCACUCCCUACCCUGGAAGUGCAGAGUCUUAACCACUGGAUGGCCAGGGAAGUCCCUUGCUUCUUCAACUUUUGCCAAAAGAAAUGUUUGUGACGCAUUUUCAAGCUGUAAACGAUUGACCUUUCUCCUCUUCAGCAGAUAAGAGUCUGCGACAAGUCUGUCUACCUUAAAAUAGGCACACUUAAAAAAAUUAAUGUUUACACCUGAGAUGCAGGAGAGGGGGGUUCCAUUCCUGGGUGGGGAAAAUCCCCUGGAGGAGGAAAUGGCAACUCACUCUGGUAUUCUUGCCUGGAGAAUCCCAUGGACAGAGGAGCCUGGCUGGCUACAGUCCAUGGGGUUGGAUACGACCGAGCAACUAAGCAUGCACCUUUUUAAAACUAUAAUUUACUGAGGCCAGAAGGCUGACCUUUGCUUCUGUGGAUACCCACACUUUCCCUGUUGUAUUUACCACCCUGUACUGAAACUGUCCACUAAACUGUCAUAAAUAAAGAAUGCUGCCCACCAUCCGAUUCUACAAGAAUCAAGUCAUUAGCCACUACAGUAGCUGAUCUACAACACACCCUGAAAGGAAUUCAGGGCAAAAAUCAGGAUGAGGUACUCAGUGCUCCAGGAAAACAGGCCAGAUGAGCCCUCAGAAAGUUAGAAAUAUUGCAGGAGAAAUUUUCUACGAACCUGGAUUCUUGCAUCUUCCUCUACUUAGAAAAGUUCUAAAAUUAUUAACUGAAAUACACGCUCCUCGUGACCAGCAGCGACCUUCUACUGAGACAUAUGCUUGAAUGCAUGUAUCCCUUUGCCAAAAUCACAUAUAUACUGACCUGAUCUCUUCAGAGCAGUUCUUCAGAGCUAUCUGAGAGGCUGUCUCCCCAGCUACAGUCCUCAGUAAGUUUUUCAAUCAAACUGAAACUCAUGGCUCUCACAUGGUGGUUUUUAUCUUAGUCAACACCUCCCUCAGAUCUGGAAAGGCUGCCGUGUACACUGCUGGCCCCCAGACUGGCCACCCCUGACAUGCUCAGAAUGUGUGCAUUGGUAUAAUACAUGAAUUUUUAGUGUGUGCCAAGUAUUCUUCUAGCUUCAGUUUACAAUGGUCUGAGAUCUUUUAGUCUUUGGAAGACUUUACCCUCUUUUCAGAGGUUGUUCAUUCUCUCAGAUUAUUGUUCAUGGAUGACAAAUUUUAAAUAAAUGUGUCUAAAAAAAA
ensembl:lncRNA